rnacentral:rRNA from 1 species
UACGGGGGGGGUAAGCGUUGUUCGGAAUUACUGGGCGUAAAGCGCGCGUAGGCGGCUUUGCAAGUCGGGUGUGAAAUCCCCAGGCCUAACCUGGGAACUGCAUUCGAGACUGCAUGGCUAGAGUAUCGGAGAGGGAAGUGGAAUUUCAGGUGUAGCGGUGAAAUGCGUAGAUAUCUGAAGGAACAUCAGUGGCGAAAGCGACUUCCUGGACGAAUACUGACGCUCAUGUGCGAAAGCGUGGGGAGCAAACAGG